GGUAGUCCACGCCGUAAACGAUGUCGACUUGGAGGUUGUGCCCUUGAGGCGUGGCUUCCGGAGCUAACGCGUUAAGUCGACCGCCUGGGGAGUACGGCCGCAAGGUUAAAACUCAAAUGAAUUGACGGGGGCCCGCACAAGCGGUGGAGCAUGUGGUUUAAUUCGAUGCAACGCGAAGAACCUUACCUGGCCUUGACAUCCACGGAAUUCGGCAGAGAUGCCUUAGUGCCUUCGGGAACCGUGAGACAGGUGCUGCAUGGCUGUCGUCAGCUCGUGUUGUGAAAUGUUGGGUUAAGUCCCGCAACGAGCGCAACCCUUAUCCUUUGUUGCCAGCACGUAAUGGUGGGAACUCAAAGGAGACUGCCGGUGAUAAACCGGAGGAAGGUGGGGAUGACGUCAAGUCAUCAUGGCCCUUACGGCCAGGGCUACACACGUGCUACAAUGGCGCAUACAAAGAGAAGCGACCUCGCGAGAGCAAGCGGACCUCAUAAAGUGCGUCGUAGUCCGGAUCGGAGUCUGCAACUCGACUCCGUGAAGUCGGAAUCGCUAGUAAUCGUAGAUCAGAAAGCUACGGUGAAUACGUUCCCGGGCCUUGUACACACCGCCCGUCACACCAUGGGAGUGGGUUGCAAAAGAAGUAGGUAGCUUAACCUUCGGGAGGGCGCUUACCACUUUGUGAUUCAUGACUGGGGUGAAGUCGUAACAAGGUAACCGUAGGGGAACCUGC
rnacentral:rRNA from 1 species